AGGCGGGGGCAGUGACCCGAGAGAGGGGACCAGACGGGGCUGCCAAGCUGUCGUGGCCUCUUCCAGAAGGUCCUGCGGCGGAAAUGUUCUGCACACGGCCCUUAGAAGGUCCUGGGAGGCGAGGCCUCUGCCCCCCCGGGGGCAGCUACAAGCCAGCUGCAGGGUCUUCCAGAAAGGCACAUUGUGCUGGCCACCUCGCCCCUCCAUAGAAAGAUCCCUGUAAGUUUCUCCACCUCCAGCUGUCCUGAGGACCGCAGCUUGGGGCCUUCCGCACGGGGCGCCCUGCCUGAGUCCUCCCUAGUUGUUCUCUUCACUUCCUCUCCGCCCUGCUUCUGCUCCUCCUCCGAGCCGCACACGGCCUGCCCCAGGGCCUGGGCAUCACCAGCUUCUCUCUUUGCUCCGCACCUUUGCCCAUGCUGUUCCCUCUGCGUGGAACUCCCUCCCCCCACCUCUUCACCAGACUGUGGUUUAUCCCGGAAAUUCUGGCUUCCUUCUUUCACAUGCCAAAGAUUUGCCAGGCAUCAUGUCUUUAUCGGGCACCCUGCCAGGGAUUAGGGAGCAGGGGCUGAGGAGAGGCCGCUUCCUAGCUGGGAGGCAGGAUAAAAAGAGUCAACAGUAACUAGAAGCGAGGGACUUUCUUAAAAGAGUUAAAUGCUGCAAGAACAACUGGUCUGCAAUCUGGCUGAGAAGGAGCCGCCUGGAGGAAGUGAGAAGAGAGCGCCAGGCAGAGGGCACAGCAAGUGCAGCGGCUCAGAGGUUGGGAAAUGGGCUUGGAGAGUUCAGGAAUCAGAAAGGCGGCCAUGUGGCUGGCUUCGAGGGAGUGAGAGGAAGUGUCCUCAGGUGGGGCUGAAGAGCUGGGUCUCCAUGGGUGGCAGACCCUAUGAGGAGCUCGGCGGCCGCUUCUCCAGGAAGACCUCCUUGACUGCAUCAGGGCACUCACUCUUGGCACUCAGCUACCGUGCUGUGAGGAAGAUCAGCUAGCCUCAGAGAAGUCGUAUGAAAGGACUCCAGCUGUCAGCUCAGCUGAGGCCCCAGCCAGCAACUGCCGGCACCAACUGCUGGACAUGAGUAAAGCCUCCUCCAGCAGAUUCUAGCCCCCAGCCGUCAAGUCCUAGCCGAUCUGCAAGUCUUGCCAGAUGGAAAAACUGAAUCACAGAAUGAUUUAGGCACUUGCCCAAAGCCACAGGCUAUUAAGUGGCAGAUUGGGAUUUGAAUCCAGGCAAUCUGGUCCCAGAAACUGCUGCGCUGAUUACUAAACUUCAUAUAUGUACGUAUAUAUGUUUUUAAAUAUAGAUUCAUAUAUUCAUGUAUGAAAUAUUCCUAUAUAUAUAUUUUGACAUCCCUAGUCUUCCUAUAUGCAUAAUACUCAUAUGUAAUGUUUCUAUAUAUAGUAUUUAUAUAUAAUGUCCAUGUAUUUUUACAAAUAAUAUUUAUGCAUAAUACUAUAAUAUGGUUUUCUUAUAUAUGAUACUCCUAUUAUGGGCAUAAUACUUACAGGCACAAUUCUUUAUAAGGAUAAUAUUCCCAUGUAUUCUUUUAUAUAAUAUUGCUAUAUAAAAUAUUCUUAAAUAUAGUAUUUCUUGAUAUAUGAUAUUGCUUUAUAUAGAACAUUCAUAAAUGUAAAAUACUCACUUUUAUAACAUUCCUCCAUGUGUUUCUGCACAUAAUAUGCCUAAACAAACAUUUCCAUGUAUAUUCCUGUGUAGUUGACCCUUGAACAACAUGGUUUUGAGCUGCCCGGGUACAUUUCAUAUGCUGAUUUUCUUCAAUAGAUAUAUUGGAAAAGUUUUUGGAGAUUUCCAACAAUUUGGAAAGACAUUUUCUUUUAUCUAGCUUACUUUAGUCUAAGAAUACAGUACAUAAUAUACAUAACAUACAAAAUAUGUGUUAAUCAAUGGUUUAUGUUGUUGGUAAGGCUUCUGGCCAAUAAUAGGCUGUUAGUAGUGAAGUUUUGGGAGAGUCAAAAGUUAUACACAAAUUUUCAAGGGCACAUGGGGUCAGCACCCCUAACCCCUUGCAUUACUCAAGGAUCAAUUGUAUAUACAAUGUUCAUCUAUAUAUGAGUACAUAUACAUAGUAUUCCUAUAUACAAUAGUCCUAUAUAUAGUAUUCUCUUGUAUUCCUAUACAUAAAACUUCUUUUUAAGUAACGUUCAUAUAUAUUAUGUAAAGAACCCUUUUACA